rnacentral:rRNA from 1 species
GAUGAACGCUGGCGGCGUGCUUAACACAUGCAAGUCGAACGAAGCAUUUAGGACAGAUUACUUCGGUUUGAAGUUCUUUAUGACUGAGUGGCGGACGGGUGAGUAACGCGUGGGUAACCUGCCUUGUACUGGGGGAUAGCAGCUGGAAACGGCUGGUAAUACCGCAUAAGCGCACAAUGUUGCAUGACAUGGUGUGAAAAACUCCGGUGGUAUAAGAUGGACCCGCGUCUGAUUAGCUAGUUGGUGAUAUAACAGCCCACCAAGGCGACGAUCAGUAGCCGACCUGAGAGGGUGACCGGCCACAUUGGGACUGAGACACGGCCCAGACUCCUACGGGAGGCAGCAGUGGGGAAUAUUGCACAAUGGAGGAAACUCUGAUGCAGCGACGCCGCGUGAGUGAAGAAGUAAUUCGUUAUGUAAAGCUCUAUCAGCAGGGAAGAUAGUGACGGUACCUGACUAAGAAGCUCCGGCUAAAUACGUG